rnacentral:rRNA from 1 species
UUUAAUUGAGAUCUUGUAUGAAUGAUUGGACAAAAGAAAUACUGUCUCUGUAUUAAAGUUUAAAUUUAACUUUUAAGUGAAAAGGCUUAAAUAUUCUAAAGGGACGAUAAGACCCUAUAAAGCUUUACAUAAAUAAGUUAAAAUAUCUAAUUUUUUAUAUAAAAAUAUAUUUAGGUUUUUUUGUUGUGUUGGGGAGAUAUAAGCUAUAAUUUGUAUUAACUGCUUGAUAAUUAAUCAAUAAAUUAGUGAGUAGAUUUGUAGAUCCUUUAUUUAAAGAUUAGAAGAUUAAGUUACUUUAGGGAUAACAGCGUUAUUUUUUUAAAGAGUCCAUAUCGGAAAAAAAGAUUGCGACCUCGAUGUUGAAUUAAAAUAUCUUUAUAAUGCAGAUGUUAUAUAAGAAGGUCUGUUCGACCUUUAAUUUUUUAC